CAAUAGCAUAUAUUAAAGUUGUUGCAGUUAAAAAGCUCGUAGUUGAAAUGGUGAUUUUUAUUGUACGACAGAGAGAUCUGAUUGUCUUUAAUAAAUCAUUCUCUUAAAUUCUAUUUUAGGAUAUUAUUUAAGACGGUUACCUUGAGAAAAUUAGAGUGCUCCAAGCAGGCAAUAGCUAUGAAUAUUCCAGCAUGGUAUAACACAAAUAUGGUAAAUAUGAUUGGUCUAAUCUAUUUACAAUGUUAAAUAGGAGCGGUCGAGGGUAUCUGUAUUUAGUAGCUAGCGGUGAAAUGCGAGGAUUUACUAAAGACAAACUAAUGCGAAGGCAUUUACCAAGGACGUUUCCGUUAA
rnacentral:rRNA from 1 species